GACGAACGCUGGCGGCGUGCCUAAUACAUGCAAGUUGAGCGAUGAAGAUUGGUGCUUGCACCAAUUUGAAGAGCAGCGAACGGGUGAGUAACGCGUGGGGAAUCUGCCUUUGAGCGGGGGACAACAUUUGGAAACGAAUGCUAAUACCGCAUAAUAACUUUAAACAUAAGUUUUAAGUUUGAAAGAUGCAAUUGCAUCACUCAAAGAUGAUCCCGCGUUGUAUUAGCUAGUUGGUGAGGUAAAGGCUCACCAAGGCGAUGAUACAUAGCCGACCUGAGAGGGUGAUCGGCCACAUUGGGACUGAGACACGGCCCAAACUCCUACGGGAGGCAGCAGUAGGGAAUCUUCGGCAAUAGACGAAAGUCUGACCGAGCAACGCCGCGUGAGUGAAGAAGGGUUUCGGAUCGUAAAACUCUGUUGGUAGAGAAGAACGUUGGUGAGAGUGGAAAGCUCAUCAAGUGACGGUAACUACCCAGAAAGGGACGGCUAACUACGUG
rnacentral:rRNA from 1 species